AUUGAACGCUGGCGGCAUGCCUUACACAUGCAAGUCGAACGGUAACAGGUCUUCGGAUGCUGACGAGUGGCGAACGGGUGAGUAAUACAUCGGAACGUGCCCGAGAGUGGGGGAUAACGAAGCGAAAGCUUUGCUAAUACCGCAUACGAUCUCAGGAUGAAAGCAGGGGGCCGCAAGGCCUUGCGCUCACGGAGCGGCCGAUGGCAGAUUAGGGAGUUGGUGGGAUAAAAGCUUACCAAGCCGACGAGCUGUAGCUGGUCUGAGAGGACGACCGGCCACACUGGGACUGGGACACGGCCCAGACUCCUACGGGAGGCAGCAGUGGGGAAUUUUGGACAAUGGGCGCAAGCCUGAUCCAGCCAUGCCGCGUGCAGGAUGAAGGCCUUCGGGUUGUAAACUGCUUUUGUACGGAACGAAAAGACUCCUUCUAAUAAAGGGGGUCCAUGACGGUACCGUAAGAAUAAGCACCGGCUAACUACGUGCCAGCCGCCGCGGUAAUAC
rnacentral:rRNA from 1 species